UACGUAGGGGGCUAGCGUUGUCCGGAUUUAUUGGGCGUAAAGAGCGUGUAGGCGGCCAGGUAGGUCUGGUGUGAAAACUCGAGGCUUAACCUCGAGAUGUCAUCGGAAACCAUCUGGCUAGAGUCCGGAAGAGGAGAGUGGAAUUCCUGGUGUAGCGGUGAAAUGCGCAGAUAUCUGAGGAAGAACGAGCCAUAGGCGGAAAGCACGCGAUCCGUCU
rnacentral:rRNA from 1 species